rnacentral:rRNA from 1 species
AUGCGCGGCGCCAAGGCCAAAACCAACCUGAAGCAGCAGCCCACGGCGAGGAAGAAGGCGGCGGCGGCAAGGACGGGCGCCGGGACCAAGUUCUGCGGCGUGCACCGGAAGCCCAGCGGCAAGUACGCGGCGCAGAUCAGACACGUCGGGGAGAGUUCUCGGUGGCUCGGCCUCGAGGACGCCGCCAGAGCGUACGAUGCCGCGGCCGUCAAGCUGCAUGGCGUGAAGGCCAUAACCAACUUCAAGCAACCACCCAUGGCCGCCGCCGUUGACGACGGCGGGGAGUCGCCCAUGGACCACAACGACGUCCCGGAGCUGCGUGGCGUGACGGCCAAAACCAACCUCAACCAGCCACCCAUGGUCGCCGGCUCUGCUGAUGGCGGCGAGGAGUCGCGCAUGGACCUCGCCGACAACGACUUCCCCGAGCAGCCGGCGCUCGACCUCUUCUCGGGCACCAUCACCGCAGACGCGCAGCUCGAGGAUGUGUUCGCCGACUUGCCGCCGUUGGAUUUGCAGCAGGUGGACGAGCUCCUCAUGGACAUGGACUUCGCCAAUAUGAUGGCUUGA